AGAGAGAGAGAGAGAGAAAAAGGGAUUGGAGAGAGAAAGCACAGACUCCAUUACUCUAUCAGGCGUCUCAAAUAUCAAAUCUCGUCUUCCUCGCUUAGAUUAGUGUAUUGUCUUCACUCGAUCGAGCUUUGCCGGUCUUUUUAGAACAUUCUGUAACAGUAUCUGUAGAACGUUUCCUUAUUGGUUUUCUUGUAAAGUGUACAGAAUCCUUUUCCCCACCCCCAAAAAAGAAAACCCCGUUUCGAUGGAGCUGUACGGUCGGAACCAAGCAAUGAAUGGCUCACAAUCGGGUCAGCAACUCGAAUGGAGCCCCGCGGGAGGCGAAACCGGCCUAGAAGAAUCGAUGUGGCGAUUGG
rnacentral:misc_RNA from 1 species